GAAACGCGAAAUGUAAUGUGAAUUGCAGAACCCCCGUGAAUCAUCGAAUCUUUGAACGCACCUUGCGCCUUGAGGUAUUCCUCUAGGCAUGCCUGUCUGAGUGUCGCGCACCUCUCAACCCCCGCGGUUCGCACCGCGCGUGGGCUUGGACCGUGGCCGCCCUUGGCCGACGUACGUCGGCCCGGCCGAAAUGCAUGCGGAGCGCAUACGCGUCGCCGUGACGUUGACCAGCGUUGUAGACCCCUCGCAGGUUGACGUCCGGAUCGCGGCUCCUAAGCCCCCAAUUAUUUCGACCUCAGAUCAAGCAGGAUUACCCGCUGAACUUAA
rnacentral:misc_RNA from 1 species